AGUGAACGCUGGCGGUAGGCCUAACACAUGCAAGUCGAACGGCAGCACAGUAAGAGCUUGCUCUUACGGGUGGCGAGUGGCGGCCGGGUGAGGAAUACAUCGGAAUCUACUUUUUCGUGGGGGAUAACGUAGGGAAACUUACGCUAAUACCUCAUACGACCUACGGGUGAAAGCAGGGGAUCUUCGGACCUUUCGCGAUUGAAUGAGUCGAUGUCGGAUUAGCUAGUUGGCGGGGUAAAGGCCCACCAAGGCGACGAUCCGUAGCUGGUCUGGGAGGAUGUUCAGCCACACUGGAACUGAGACACGGGCCAGACUCCUACGGGAGGCAGCAGUGGGGAAUAUUGGACAAUGGGCGCAAGCCUGAUCCAGCCAUACCGCGUGGGUGAAGAAGGCCUUCGGGUUGUAAAGCCCUUUUGUUGGGAAAGAAAAGCAGCAGGUUAAUACCCCGCUGUUCUGACGGUACCCAAAGAAUAAGCACCGGCUAACUUCGU
rnacentral:rRNA from 1 species